rnacentral:rRNA from 1 species
GAUGAACGCUGGCGGCGUGCCUAAUACAUGCAAGUCGAGCGAACGGACGAGAAGCUUGCUUCUCUGAUGUUAGCGGCGGACGGGUGAGUAACACGUGGAUAACCUACCUAUAAGACUGGGAUAACUUCGGGAAACCGGAGCUAAUACCGGAUAAUAUCUCGAACCGCCUGGUUCAAAAGUGAAAGACGGUCUUGCUGUCCCUUAUAGACGGAACGGCGUUGCAUUAGCUAGUUGGUAAGGUAACGACUUACCAAGGCAUUGAUGUAUAGCCGAACUGAGGGGGGGAUUGGCAGCCCGGAAGAGAGGCUGCGGGCCCACAUCGGACGGGAGGCACCGGUAGGAAUCCUUCGGGAGGGGGCAAAGGGUGACGGAGCAACGCCGCGGGAGUGAUGAAGGUCUUCGGAUCGGAAGACGCUGUAAUUAGGGGAGAACAUAUGUGUAGGUAUCUGGGCACAUCAUGACGGUACCUAAUCAGAAAGCCACGGCUAACUACGUG